CAAAACGUAAUUAUUACAUGUAUUUCUUUAAAUUUUCUAACCAAUAAAACAAAAUUCUAAACAUUGUUAUUUUUACAAUACAAAAGGUUGCAAACAAUCAUAUAAUAUAUAAAAAUAUUGGUAAUUUAAAGGCAGUUGCUUUGAAUUAUAAAAUUUGGAUGUAUUUUCAGUGGUCAAACUAAUGCUGAAAAAGGUAUAAUAAUACUACUUGAGACAGGGUGGCUCUGACAUGUGAUAUAGUUCACAAUUUGGUUUGUGUAAGUCUUUCUUUCCGUGAUUUUACAUCCUCUUUGAAUUCAUUGAACAAAAAAACAUCCCCCUUAAAUUUUUUCAAUCAGGUUCAUUAAAGCAAAAACAUUAAGUAUAGGCGGUCAAGUAAUCUCAUUUUACUGUAAACUAAAAAACUUUGAAUAUUUUUUAAAAAAAUUUAUAAAUUUAAGGAAUGACUGUAAUAUUUUUUCUGUCUAUUCGAAAUAACAUAAAAAAAUUUGGUGCACACUGAAUAACGCGCGUAGCGGGUUAUUUAACAGUGUGCACCACAUUUUUUAUGUUAUUUCGAAUAGACAGAAAAA
rnacentral:lncRNA from 1 species